UACGUAGGGUGCGAGCGUUAAUCGGAAUUACUGGGCGUAAAGUGUGCGCAGGCGGCCGAGCAAGUCGAGUGUGAGAGCCCCGAGCUUAACUUGGGAACUGCGCUCGAAACUACUUGGCUAGAGUGUGGCAGAGGGAGGUGGAAUUCCACGUGUAGCGGUGAAAUGCGUAGAGAUGUGGAGGAACACCGAUGGCGAAGGCAGCCUCCUGGGCCAACACUGACGCUCAUGCACGAAAGCGUGGGGAGCAAACAGG
rnacentral:rRNA from 1 species